rnacentral:lncRNA from 1 species
GUAAGUAAAACCCAGUAUAUUUCUUGAGCAGAAAAACCCAGACUACCCAGUAUAUUCCAGUUGAUUCCACGGUAAAAACUGGAUAAGGAAAGUUUAAGCAAAAAAAAAAUAAAAUAAAAAAAAUCCAUUUAUUUGCAAGAUUUUAAUACAGAUACAUACUAUACAUACAUUAGAGAGAGAGAGAGAGAGAGAAGCGCAGAGAGAAAAAUCAGACAGCUUGUCCGAGUAGACUUGAGAGAGAGAAAGAGAUGGCAUCGUUCGACGCAUACAGCACGGACGGUGACGGUACGCGUCAGUUCGACGACGGCGGGUACACUGGCUACGACGAAUCAUACACCGCCUUUUCCCCUGCUGACACUCCGCCUUACUCUGCCGCCGCCGCCGGAGCUGGAGUUUACCCUCCAGAGUACGGAGAAUCGGAGGAGGUGGUAGUGGAUCACGUGGACAGCCCCGAUCCGUUCGGGUCCUCGACCACGGCCCCGAUCUCGAAUGGCAACGGGAAUCGGCCAUAUGAUAUGGGGGAAGAUUCGGAGGGAAUAUUCAACUCCGAUGGGCCGAUUCUUCCGCCUCACUCUGAAUUGCAGCCUGAAGAAGGAUUCGCUCUUCGCGAAUGGAGAAGGUCAGAUAUUUUUUGUUGAAUCUUGGUUAAUUUUGAUUUGGAUGAAGUUUCCCGUUGCCAACUUAUACAAACUUUAGAUCUGUUACUUAGUUUUUGUCUUGGAUUUCCAUUCAUUUUCUCGAGGACUUUUCAAAGACAGAUUUAAUAAUUUAGAGGAGAUUCUUGUUCUUUUUUAUCUUUAUAUUGAUAUGGAACCAAAUAGAAACUUUGAUUCGAAUUUCUUGAUUAUUACUCAGGUUUAUGGUCUGAAAUCAACUAUCUUUACGAUCAUAACAAGUGUAAACUUUUAGGGGUAGUUAUGUGGGAAAGGAAAAGGUAUUGGCCAUUUGAUGGUUGAGUAGUUGUUACUUAAGGAUAUAACUUGGAUUUCAUGGCACAUGAUUUAGGGUUCUUUGAACUGUUAAGGACUGGAGUUUGGUUUUUAUUUGGACAGAGAAAACAGAUCCACUCUGCGGUGCAAGUUCAUUUCAAAAUUUGACACUUGACCCGAGGUAAAAUUACUGUAAUGGUUAUUCUUUAGUUGGAUAACGAUGACAUGGAAAAGUACUUCAAGGAUUUUGAGUGAUUGGAAGAUAACUAUUGAGUUAAAAACAUGUGGCACACAAUAGCUAUUAGACUCUGUUUAUGAAGUCAGUUUUGAGUUGUUUAAGGAAUAUACCCUAAUAAUAUCAUAAUACUUAAAAGGACCCUACAACGGGUGUGUGCCAGAUUAAAAUAGAUCAAAUAAGAGAGAAGGAUAUACGUCAAUAACUAUGGGUGGAGAAAAACUUUAACAUGACAGUCCUAUAUGCACAUAUGGUAGGAUCACCCAUUUAAAUCAUGACACCUCGAACUCAAAUCGAGACACCUCAACGUCUAAUGUGGUGAAACAAACAAAGUGGUUGUCCAAUGAUAAGGUGUUGCGAUUUGAGUGGCUUGAGGUUCAAGGUGACAUGAUUUGAAUGGACAAUCCUACCACGUGUGCGUAUAGACCGUCAUACCGAAGCUUCUCUUAGUGGUGACACUACGUAGAUGGUUGGGUAUGUCUAACGUUGAUUCUCAAAGAUACUCUUAUUGGCAGGAGUGGUGCGAUCACGGUGAAAUAAGUUCUAGGAAAGGCAAGUGGGCAAAAAAUUGAUCAAGCUCAAUGUGAUUAUUGAUAUUUAAUUUUAUUGGAUAUUUCAGUGAGUGCAGUGGUAAAAAAUUAUCAAGAAUAGAUCUUAGUCAGUUUUAAAAAAAAAUAAAAAAUCUUCCCUUAUGGCACUAAGCCAAAUCCAUUGUUUAUCUUUCAUCUAAAAACAUCAUAUAUGAAUCUAUCAAUCAGGUUCAAAACUUUACUUACCGUAACUCUCACACUAUAAUCAUUUAUAUUACUUCAUCAAGAUCUCAAAUACGAGUAAUGUCGUUCCUACAUUAUUGAUAAUUAUAGAAUUCAUUACGUUCUUAGGUAGACCAUCACCAACAUUAUCAUCAUAACAACAGCAGCAUUACAAUGUCAGCUAAGAAGCACGGAUACACAUACGUAAUUUGGAUAUGAUACAGAUAUGCCGAUACGACUAUUUUGAAAAAAAUUAGGAUAAAUCGAUACAUGUUAUAAAAUUCAAAAUAAUUUCAUUAAUAUAAAAAAAUAUUAACACUGUCAUACAGAAGCAUGAUAAUAAAAAUAAAAUAAAAGAAUAAAGCACUUUAUAUUAAUCACUAAUGUCGAACUUCAUUUUUUUAAACAUCAUAAAUAUCAAUUUCCUCAUUAUCAUUAAAAAUAACUCUCCAUCUCUGGCUCAUCUAAUGAUAGAUUAGCAACCUUAACCCGUUCAACACCUUCAAAAAUAUCAAAUGAGUUUUCGACAAUGUCCUACAUUUUGAAUUCUCCUUUGAAUAGAGAUCUAAUUUCUUGAUAAAAGACAAAUUAUUAUGAAUGAAACCAAUUCUUCAGCUCGUAGUGGAGUUGAUUUUUUUUUACUUGAAGAGUGCACACAAGAGUACGUAUCCCAGUUUCUUUCAACACUAGAUGAACAAAAAGGUUAGACAAGAAGUUUCAAAGCAAUGUUUUGUAGUAAAGAUGCAUGUGGACCAUAAAGUAUCAAAUACAAAUCGAAAAUCAGACAAAAAUAUAAAAUAACUAAAAAAUACGUAUCAGAUAUGUAUCGAAAAUUUAAAAAAUAUAAAAUAAUUUUAAAAAAAGUAUACGGUACGUAUCAAAGCGAAUCGGAGAGUAUUGGAGCUUGAAUACGUAUCGGAUACAAGUACGUAAUAAGUUUACAAGUAUCGGUGAUUCUUAGAAUACCAAUACAAAAUUUUCAAAUGGCAACAAUAAUGAGAUUAGAAAGUUUUAGCAUAAAAAGGCCUUUCAAUGAAUGCUUACUUAGUUCCACUAGGGUUGAAUCCAAUUGAAAAGGCAGUGGUAAUCUCAUCCAUGGCAUCAUAGGCACGAUAUGUACAGCGUAGCUGCAAUUCCCAUACAAAUGGGUGGUUGGUUACUGACAAAUACACAAACAAGUAUAUAAAAGGACCAAGUUUUGGAGACUAGGAUAGAAAAAGGUGACCAUCUUAUUCUCAACUACUAAAUGAUGUGUAUUAUAAACAGUUCUAGGCUAUUGUUAAGCUUUAUUAGGAUAGAUCAGAUUCUUAAGAAAAGCACGUUAGUGAUGCACCACCUGCCCUGAGUUAGCAUCCCAGAGAUGGAUAGGAUGAUCGCGAGUAGUAGUUGCAAACACACAUAAAUCUGGAUCUGAAAUACAAACCAGAAUUCUAGUGAAUUUCUGCCUUCCAGAAUAUUUAUCAAGAUUAGUACAAGAAAAAUCAUGUCACGGAGAUGUACUUGAACCAGACAUGUGUGGGUACCAGCAAUAAUCAUAGACAGAUUCUCCCUCACGUACAACAAGGUUUGCCACAUAUGAAUCUGCAAGCAAACUAAAUGUUUUAAGGAGAUAUGUAGAAAUUUUGAAAAAAAGUAUGUCAUUAGACCAUAUUAUAUAUAACCCCAGAUGGGUCAGCAUAUAUUAAUGUUAAAUGAAAACCUCGCAGGAUUUUUAUAUAUUUCUUUCACAUACACACUUUAACAUCCUUCAUUAUAUAUUAAUCUAAAUAUUUAGCAUUCUGAACCAUUCCAGCAUAAUACUUCAGAGAACCAAUCUAAGUUGGAACAGGUUCCACAUAAGUGGCAUUCAACAUUAACAACGUUUUUUGUUCCCUCCUUCAAAAUAUCCACAUUCUAGAAAAAAUACAUGCCAGAGCGUUGAGGUGUCAUAAGUUCUCAUAUUUGAACAAUAAGUUUGGAUGCGUGGAACUGGCCUAUCAGAAAUUUAUUUCAUCUAAAUUCAAUUAAAGUUAGAAAAAAAAAAUAAAGAUCAUAAAUCAUUUGGAUGCUUGGAAGUAGACCCUUAGAAUUGAAAAAAUAAAAAUAAAAAUAAGAAAAUCCAAAUGCAAGAAUUUUUAACACAAAUGGAAGUCAGGUGCGAGUAAGAGUAAAAGAGUUACCUUCGGCUGGAGCUGAAGAGCACGUAUUUACAUAGCUAACGCUGUCAUCAUAAGGCCUGAAAGGAGGACACCAUUUGAGAAGGAUCGAAUUACAAUCUCAUAAAAAAUCAUCCAGACUUUCGCUAUUUUGAUCGAUAGACUUACAAUGUAAAAACAUGGAGAGUGUUGUCGUCACAGCAGGUUAGGAAGCAAGAGCCAUCUGGUGACCUACAAAUCAAAACCCCUAUAGAAAAUGAAUAAAAUCACAGCGAUAAUUCGUGGAAACGAGGAAAAAGGUCAAAACUGAGCAGUGAAAUUACCACUUGACACCUUUAAGAAAGUUGUUAGAGUUUGAUGAAGCAGUUCGGAAUUGCUUGAAGAAAUGGUAUGUUCUGUAAGGAUGAGCAUCGUAGUGAACCAGUGGCCAAGAGUACGCGCCAUUGGAGGGUUUUUCUGUAAAUUCAGUGGAUUCGGUAUCCGGAUUUGGCUGCUGAUGCUCCGCAUCCACCCCUUCUCCCAUUUAUCGCCGUCUGAUCCUGCAAGCGGAAGAACUGGGAUAUGAAAAUGAUGUACUCAUCCCUUGGAUUUAGAGGGUUUUAAUUCAGGAAAGCCUCCAUCCCUACUUCUAUCCGUCACCAUCCCAACUAUUUUAUUGGCACGUCUACGAGGUACCUUUGCACCCUUCGCCUAAAAAUUCAUUUUUUUAAGUCUUUGUCAAUCUCAUACUUUUUAAUAAAAUAAUAUUACACAUAAAUUUAAAAUUUUUUCCUAUUUUAAUCGCAAAUUUUUCGUCAAUUACUAUUUAAAAAUAUUUUUUUUCCUCAAAAUGGAGCUCAAACAAGGGCUCGACUUUUCAUUUAUCGGCGACUAUUAUCCCUACCAACCCAAUCCAUCCUUCUAAUUCAAAUAAGCUAAAAAGUAAGAAAAAAAAUUUAAUCGGAUUUUCACUUUAUAUUCAUCACCGAAAACAUUCCCCCAAACAAUCAAAGUCAAAUCUUUAGAUUUUUUUAGACUUGAGUCAAACUUUAAAAGUUAGCCACUUCAAUCGUUAUGUUAUCAAAUUGAGACAAAAACACGAACUAUUUUUAUGAAUUUAUUUCAACGAAAACACAACCCAUUUUGCGAUAAAUUUAUUAGUAUAUCACGUAGGGAAAAUUUCAUAACUAAGAUUUUAAGUAUCACUCAUUUCAAAACUAAAAACAAAUGUUUCAAAUUUCAUAAAUAGAUAUUUAUUAAUAUUUAUUUAUGAUUUAAUUAAUUAAAUAUAUUAAUGUCACAUAUCUAUAUAAUUUGAUCACAAACUAAUGAUUUAAUUAGUCGCGCAUUAUUUUUCGAUCACAAAUCAUAAUUUUUAUAUAUCACAAAUUAUUUUACGAUCAUAAUUUAAAAAUUUUGUAGGUAAAUAAUUUGUUCAUCAAUCAUAAAUCAAAAAAUUUAUAAGUCACAAUUUAUUUAUAGAUCACAAAUCACAAAUAUUUAAGGUUACAACUAUUAUUCGUCACAAAUUAUCAAAUUAUCAAUCACAAAUUAACAAUAUUUUAGGUCAUACAUUAUUUUCUUGAUCACAAUUUAUCUUUUCCAUUGGUCACAGAUUAACCAAUUUAACAAUCACAAUCAACCAAAUAAUUUAUGAGCUCCACCUACACUUGCGAUUAUCACCUCACCACGGUGCUACACACAUCACUGUCGUCAAACACCACCACUUUCACAAUCGAUCAACACUAUCGCACACCCUAGAUCCACUAUCAUGCCGCCAACAUCACUGCACCAUCACAAUGCACCCAUAGCACCACACUACCAUCAUACCCACCUGAGCUCUCUAUUUCCACCACCACAUCGCACACCUCCACCUCCAUCUCCACCGCACCACAGCACCUUACCACCAACACAUGCAUCACCACACCACUCAACCAACCAUAGCACCAUGGAAAGCACAUCAUCGUUGCACCCACCAGAUCUUCGUUCUCACCACCAUACCGCACACCUUCACCACCGAACCGUCAAUCACUGCACAACGCAAAAAUUUAUUAAAAAAAAGAAGGAAAGAAGAAUGGAUUUGUGGCGCCCAGAGAUCUACACCACUGACAACCAAAGCAUAAGCCGUUGUACUCGCACUGUACAUGAUGCUAUGAGCUCGUUGUUGUACAUGGCGAUGGUGAAUUUAAGCGUCGUUCAGUGGCGAUUGGAGAGCUGCGCACUGCCGGUGGAGAUAAGUCCCCAGAGUGAUAGCCUUUGUUUGAGCCACAUUGUUUGGAAAAAAAUGUAUUUUUAAACAGUAUUUUAACAUUAUUUUAACCACACAUUUCUUAAAUAUAAUAAUAUUACACGCAAAUUCAAAAUCUUUCUUUAUUUUUUAAUCACACAUUUUCUAUCAAUACAACAUUCAAAAAUGCAUGUUUUCCUCUAAAAUGGGGCUCAAACAAUGACAUAAUAAAAAAGGUUGAGAAAGAAGGAUGUGGAAAGUGAUUAGGGUUUUCAGAUUGAAAAUUGAGUUGGAUGGGUUAAUGAUUGAGGGUGUGGUAUGCAAAUUAAAUUAAUUUUAUAAUAUUAUUAUCAAUAUUAUAAUAGUUUAAUUAUAACUUGAUUUUUGAAUAAACAGUCUUUGGAUCUAAUUUUUGAAAUUGCAUCUUAAAAUAUAUGGAUAUGUGUACUUUCCACUAUAACAUAUACGAAAACAAUAAAUUAGUGAUGGACAAUCUGAUAUAGAUAAUUAAUAACAUCAUGAAGUCUAUCUUAAUCAAUUUAGAUGUUCAACCAUUACCCAAAAAAAUGUAAUAGAUCUUCUGUUCGACCCUUACGAAAACUAUAAUUUAUUUUACUCUUUUUUCUUAUCAAUCACACAUUUUCUAAUAAAGUAAUAUUAUAUGUAAAUUUAAAAAAAAAUUCACUCUUUUAACUAUUCAUUCUUCAGAAAAUUUACUAUUUCAAAGUACUUUUUUCCUAGUUUCUCAUUAUAAUGAGGGCCAAAUUAGGGUCAAGAAAUAUAUAAAUUAUCUAAAAUGAAAUGGAUUUACUCUCACCAAGCAAAUUUACAUAUACUUUUAUUAAUUCAAGGCUAAUCGCCAUUUAUUUAUAAGAGACCGUUCUCUCAUCAUACAUAUAAUGAAAAAUAAAUAUGAUUGGCAUAAUGUCGAAAACAAAUUUAAAUAAUUAUGUCUCCUGACCCAUAUGUCUUUGAAUAAUAUUACUUGUAUAUAGUGAAAUUAUAUAAUAAUUUUUAUACAAACGAGGUGUUAAAAAAGAGUGGAGAAAUUUUUUGUUAUUUGUUUGAAAUAAUUUUGACGCAAUCAUAUUUCAACACGUUAUAUGUAUGUAAAUCAUUAUAUACAUAUAUCGCAAACAUAAAUCUUUAGACAAAAUAAUGUUGAACCACUUUUGAUCCCUUGUUUGAGUUUCAUUCUUUUACAUUAUUUUUUUUUCCAGUAUUUAUUUUCAAUCAUAUUUUUCAUUAAUAUAAUAUUAUACGCAAAUAAGUUUUUUCCAUUUUUUACCACACAUUCUCCAUCAAUUACUAUUUCAUGGUACAUUACUUCGAAUUAAUGGGGCUCAAACGGGGGCUUGAGUUUCACAUGACUUAUUUGCAAGCAUAACUUUAGAAUAUCCUAAGAGCAUGUUUGGUACGUAUUAAAAUUUGAUUUUAACUUAAAUCAAAGUAAAACAAUUAAUAUUAACCACACCGAUUUUGGGUUCUACAACUUUUCAACUAGACAUUUCAAAAACUUUUAUCACAAUCACUAAAAAAAUUAGCCCUUGUUUCAUCCCCAUUUUUGGGAGAAAUAAUGUAUUUUGAAAAGUAGAUUGAUGGAGAUUGCGUGAUUAAAAAUUAAAAAAAAGUUUCGAAUUUGUAUGUAAUAUUAUUUUAUUGAAAAAUGUAUAGUUAAAAAUGAGUUUUUAAAAGAAUGAGAAUCAAACAUGACCUAUUUUUAAUCCGUACCAAACAUCACCUAAACAAUUAGUCAUUCUUCUUUCGUUGAAAAUAACGAAGGACUGACUAGAGUUCUCUAGAGAUGAGUAGCACAUGCCAAGCUAGAGAUGAGAAGAGUACUUUAAAGGCAUAUUUUCUAUUACAUAAUUUUAGAUGGUACAAUGCAUCUAAUUUAAAUUCUAUUUACUUUAAUAUUCUACUUGUCUAACACUAAAAACAUAUUUUCUAACUUUCCUUUUUAAUGCUUCUAAUUGCACGACAUAAAUUGCAAUUUUUAAUUUUAUUUGGAAAAAAUGUGAUUCUUACUGGAGAAAAGUAAUUGAGCCCCGUUCUUUUGAAAAAAAAUAUAUUUUUAAAUAAUAUUUUGACAUCAUUUUAACAACUCAUUCUUCUAUAAAAUAAUAUUACACUCAAAUUCAAAUCUUUUUUCUUAUUUUUUAACCACACAUUUCUCAUAAAUACACUAUUCAAAAAUACAUUUUUUUAUGCCGUAGGUAUCCGAACCAGCUUAUGUGCACAUUGACUAAUCUCACGAAAUCUUGAAGUUUACAGUCGGAUACUAACCUCAAUAACUUUGAGAAAACUCGAACUGAUGAACAUUGAGGGAGCAAAUCUAAAACAUGAUCACUAAACUACUCUUCUAGAUUAAAAAAGUAUUUUUAUUAAAAAAAAAAGGACUUAAAAAAGGGCUAAAGAACAAAAGAUAAAGAUAUUGAAAUCCUUCGACACUUGGUCAAUGAUAAAUUGGCUAUAUAGACUGUAUCCUAAUAUGUUUAUUUUUUAAUUUUUGGGGUCAAACAUUUCGAGGAUAUAUCUCCAACCCUUAUUUUUCUCCCUAUUUGACUAAGCCUUUGUUUGAGCCUAUUUUUCUAUCAAAAUACAUUAUUUAAAGGUGAUUUGAUAUCAUUUUAAUCACAUAUUUUCAAUAAAAUAAUAUUACAGGUAAACUCAAAAAUUUUUCUUAUUAAUAACCACACAUUUUUCAUCAUAAUACUAUUUCAAAAUACAUUUUUUGAGAAAAAUAGACCUCAAACAACCCCUAAAUAGAUUACAAAAAUGAUGUUUAUAAACAAAGAUUUUACCGGUUGAAUGUUUUACACAUAAGUCACAUAUUCCCAAAUAUCUAUCAUUUUAUGAAAUAAUCUUCUAACUCAAAACAAAAAGCAUAUUAUUCAUUUCAAAUUUUAGUAGUUUUAUGUCUCCGAAUUCACCUUUUGAGUUUCCCAAAAUGAGAGUGUCAGUUGCAAGUUACGAUAUGUUCUUUCUCUUCCUAUAGCUAAGUCAAUUCGUUGAAUUAUAGUGCUAACCGAUUAUGUUAGUUCGAUGCUGCUAUCAUACGAUGACGAAGAAUUUGAGUCAAUGCAGUCUUCGAGUAGUAAAAUUAAAUUGUCACAUUUUAUAAAUGCAAGCUGAUUUAAGCAACUUAACUUGAGCACAAAAUCUAAUUCGUUAAAUGCUUAUUCUUCAUCGUAAGUAAAACCCAGUAUAUUUCUUGAGCAGAAAAACCCAGACUACCCAGUAUAUUCCAGUUGAUUCCACGGUAAAAACUGGAUAAGGAAAGUUUAAGCAAAAAAAAAUAAAAUAAAAUAAAUCCAUUUAUUUGCAAGAUUUUAAUACAGAUACAUACUAUACAUACAUUAGAGAGAGAGAGAGAGAAGCGCAGAGAGAAAAAUCAGACAGCUUGUCCGAGUAGACUUGAGAGAGAGAAAGAGAUGGCAUCGUUCGACGCAUACAGCACGGACGGUGACGGUACGCGUCAGUUCGACGACGGCGGGUACACUGGCUACGACGAAUCAUAC